AGUAAGGUGCCAGAACAUUAUGGGUUACAUUGAUGUUGUAGAAUAUAGGACAAAGAGUCUUUCUUACUA
rnacentral:tRNA from 1 species